GAUGAACGCUGGCGGCGUGCCUAAUACAUGCAAGUCGAGCGAACGGACGAGAAGCUUGCUUCUCUGAUGUUAGCGGCGGACGGGUGAGUAACACGUGGAUAACCUACCUAUAAGACUGGGAUAACUUCGGGAAACCGGAGCUAAUACCGGAUAAUAUUUUAAACCGCAUGGUUCAAAAGUGAAAGACGGUCUUGCUGUCACUUAUAGAUGGAUCCGCGCUGCAUUAGCUAGUUGGUAAGGUAACGGCUUACCAAGGCAACGAUGCAUAGCCGACCUGAGAGGGUGAUCGGCCACACUGGAACUGAGACACGGUCCAGACUCCUACGGGAGGCAGCAGUAGGGAAUCUUCCGCAAUGGGCGAAAGCCUGACGGAGCAACGCCGCGUGAGUGAUGAAGGUCUUCGGAUAGUAAAACUCUGUUAUUAGGGAAGAACAUAUGUGUAAGUAACUGUGCACAUCUUGACGGUACCUAAUCAGAAAGCCACGGCUAACUACGUG
rnacentral:rRNA from 1 species